rnacentral:tRNA from 1 species
UUCCGUGUGGCUCAGUGGUAAAGAAUCUGCCUGCCCAUUCAGGAGAUGCAGGAGACUCAGGUUCGAUCCCUGGUGGGGAAG